GACGAACGCUGGCGGCGUGCUUAACACAUGCAAGUCGAACGGAAAGGCCCUGCUUUUUUGGGGUGCUCGAGUGGCGAACGGGUGAGUAACACGUGAGUAACCUGCCCUUUACUUUGGGAUAACUUCAGGAAACUGGGGCUAAUACCGGAUAGGAGCUCCGGCUGCAUGGUGGGGGUUGGAAAGUUUCGGCGGUUGGGGAUGGACUCGCGGCUUAUCAGCUUGUUGGUGGGGUAGUGGCUUACCAAGGCGUUGACGGGUAGCCGGACUGAGAGGGUGACCGGCCACAUUGGGACUGAGAUACGGCACAGACUCCUAAGGGAGGCAGCAGUGGGGAAUAUUGCACCAUGGGCGGAAGCCUGAUGCAGCAACGCCGCGUGCGGGAUGACGGCCUUCGGGUUGUAAACCGCUUUCGCCUGUGACGAAGCGUGAGUGACGGUAAUGGGUAAAGAAGCACCGGCUAACUACGUG
rnacentral:rRNA from 1 species